UUCUCCUAAAAUAAAAUAAAUUACGAGUGAAUAACAAAUGAUAAUACUUCGGAUUUGAAAAAAAUCAAAUUUUAUUAUUAUAUAUUUCUACUUAUAUAUGUAUUUUAUAUUUGAAAGAACGGUAGAAUUUUCAAGCGAUAAGGGGAAACGUAAGUACGGCCGAACGAUAAGGUGGAAGGGGAAACGGACGAAGAGGAUUCCCUUCCCGCCAAGAAACCUAAGGAUACGGAAAGAAACUGGAGGGGACUUUCCGUUAAAAUAUGGCGAAACAGGAAGACGCUAAGAACGAUGGAAUUCUUUAGUGGAAGGGAACCAUGAAAUAUGACUAUGUAUCUCAUCAAAUUACGUUCGAUUGAAGACAGAAAGCUGAAUCUAAGAGAGCGUUGCUCAUGACCAGGGUGAAUUUUCGUAAUGGCAUACACGCGCCGUGUGUAUAUCGGCGAUACGAGGAAAGAGGGCAUAGAAAACUCGCAGAACUGCAUCAUCCAAUCAAAGGGACGAAUCGACUAAGACUAGGUGGUGGGGGUAAACGUAGGGAUUGGCAGACGCUAUGAUACAUGUUUGUAGAAGGGAUGUGUUCGUGCUGCGUAAAGCACACGAAAAGGGGAAAGAGAAGCACGAAGAAGCAGCGUGCCUGGAUAUAUCGUGCAUGGACUACACACAGCCACUGGUGAAGUUCAAAAUUAUUAAAAACAAUCUAAAUAUGAAAGUUAAAGAUAAAUGAAAAAAGAAAAUAAUUAAAUUUCAAUAGUAAUAUUACAAAUCAUAGGCAUCAAGAUCGUACUGUUUCAAGGUAAAACGUUUCAUAUUAACAUACGUCUUUAUUAAACGGAAUGUAAUAUCUCAUUUCAUAAACUUGAUGAUUAAGCAUAACGUAUCAAUAUCAAUGCCAAGUUAAUCUCUAUAAUAAAAAUCAAUGGUACUAUCUUAACGUUACUCAAGCUAUUGUAACGAAGCGUAAGCACAAUACCCAUCUAAUAAUAUUCUUGUCUCGUCGUACUAUAAGAAAGGACACUUGUAAUUUAUAAAACCGCUGUGAUUCAGGAUAGUACAGAGCGAUUAUGAUACGUCCCUUUGAAACUUGAUGCGCUUUUUCUUUGAACCAGAAUCUGUUGGCAACUGCUACUACCGCUAUAUGCAUUCAUGGCGUUGUCGAGUAGUUUACAACGAACGGUAAGUGACAGUGACGUACAGACGUCUAGUGGUCAUGAAACGACGAUGCUAUUUGUUAUCCCACAAACACGAUUACCUAUCAACGUAUUCCUAAUCACGAGGUCUUUCCAGAUAACCCAACGCUUAUAACCUAUUGCAUAGAUUCAUUUCACUUCUCUUGACUCGAGUAAGUCAUGAACAAUCGUUAUAUAAUUCUUCUGUAACACGUAUUAAUUUGAUCAUAUUGUGCUAUUAAAGACAUUUUUACGUACGAAUGAAAUAUAAUCGACGCUACAGAACAGAAAACUAACAAAUUUCAAUAGAAAUAAUAAUCUAUGCAAUAAGACAAUCGAUAAAGUAGAUUAAAUAUAUUAACAGUAACAUAAGAUCCAUAUUUCUGCUUUCCAUAAAAAAAAAAUAUAUUCAUUUUUUAUUGCAAUAAAUUAAAGAAUGUUAUGUCUCGUAUAAGGUCACAAUAUUGAACAAAUACAUUGAGAUCUCCAGUGUUAUUUGAAAUUCCCGCCUUUUUCCCGUCUUCCAUAUUCGCCUCCACCAUAGUGUCCGUGAGUUGUAAAUAACAUUCAUCAUAUUUGCUACGUAACUACAUAAUCAGAGCGCAACGGUAACGUAUCAAAUCAGAAUGAAAGCAAAUUUUAUGUAGGAUAAACACUCGUAUUUACUGCAAUCGGCACGAAGCGUGAAAAAAAAGAAGAACAAACAGGUAUUAUCAAAUUUUCUUAUCUCCGAAUUGAUAAAUGAACAAACGUGACUAGGUAUAGUAAUAAAAUAAUAACGUAUCAAUCUAAUAUAAGAAGCACGUAUAAUUAUGGUUUCCACGUGACAUACAAUUCUUGCUGGGCGAAGACACCACCACCACAGGCCUUUCUACCAAUGUGAACGGAAACUAUCGAAGAUACCGACAUUUUAGGCUAAGAAUUUCACCUUGUAACUUCCAUGGAAACAGUCGUAACGAUGUAUUAUCGACUAAAAAUAAGCAGCUCCCUAUCACGACGCCGAAUGGUGGUCGGUCGGUCCGAUUCAAGAUGAAAAAUCGCCACGAUGUUUUCUCGAAGGUUUGUAACACUACGCGGCAUACUACGAAAGACAGGGAAGCAGGAGAGGUACGGGUAUAUAAUACAUGGCGUUAGCUGCUGGCUGCGCGCGUGGGGUUUUCGAUGGAAAGAGAGAACCAAACGCGGGCAAAAGACGCGGGCAGGGAGACACGGUGCGACAGAGAGAGAGAGAGAGAAAAGUAAAGCGAGAAAGGAAGCCUUCGGGGACGGUGUUUAUGCACGCAGAUCGGUAAACAAUUUUAGAGCAACACGUCGACCUGAAAGAGAUAUGUGUUAGUCUAUCGAUCGUCCGUCAGACACGAUUAACCCUCUUACAACGAAUUAUCGAUCAAUUACGACAAAGAGAGAGUGAGAGAGAAAAGGCGCGAGAAAGAACGAGAAGAGAUGAGAGGAAGGAAGGAGAAGAUGGAACGAGUAAGGGAGAAAGCACAAUGAACGCGGGCUUGGUUUCAGGCGCCAUAAUGGAAACCCACAGAGCGGUGGCGGUAGCAACGGCGGUCGGAAAAAUGCGCGGGAUGCUCGCUUUUCCUACCUAUAACUGUAAUACUCAAAGUAAAAAAUGGCGUCCAUUAUGUAGAGAGACCGACCGAGCAAUGUAAAUUAUAUUUAGAGCGAUAUUUACUUGAAACACUGCGUAUAAGUAAAGAACAUUUAAUACGAAACCGUACGAAAUGAGCACAUGGCGCUAGUAGCCAAGAUCCCGCCUGAUUAAUAUGUUUAUUUUAACAAAAUACAACUAAUCAAUUGUAAAUUCUGAUGUUAGCCAGAAACAUUAAAUUCAGAUCGGUAAUUAUAGACGACAUUGUAACAACAGGGGUGAUCAACCGAACUAUCGUGCUCGUGGGAGCCACGCGAAAUAUGAUGGCGUCCCUUGGCGCUCGAUCAGGAAAACAUUACGAUUGUGUACAUUCCUGUCCUGUUUACAGGGGGGGAAAUUGAUACAAUUGUGUUUCUUGAUGUUAUGAAAAUAUAGAGCCUAAUGAAAAUGCCGGCCGGCAUCCUUUUCUCUUCCAUGCCGUCAGUCGGUUGAAACGGCCACUCGACUGCCCGCCCACCGAAUUGUUCACGAGACUUACAACGAUAUUGCGUGCACAAUUCAGAAACUGAUUUUGAUUGGGAACGCAAUAGGAAUCUAUAAAUACAUUUCACGAAUUGGGAAAAUUCAUUGGAAGAAAAUUCAUGAUUACAGAAUUUUCAAUUCGCUUAUAUAAAUAUGAAUCCAAAAUUGUAGACAAUAACCGUGACCGAAGCAGCGUGGCGCGGAAGCAUGGUGCAAGCCGGCAUGUACGUGCUUUUCGUGUGUAUGCGUAUGCUUACGUAGAAUCAUGAUAAAGUAUCAAGAAUACUGUACGAUGAAAAAUUAGGUGGGAAAAAAGUACUACAACUCACCUCGGCCGGCCUCUUCAUUCCUUUGAUCUCACACUUCGCGUCUCCGGAAGCCUUGUCGUUCUCAGUCACCUUCUCUACGGCGACCUCGUUGUUUUCUUUGCUGCUCAUGGUGAAUAGAUGCGUUGGGCAAGAUGCCUGAGUGGUCUUCUUAUAAACGGUGGAAAAGAUAGAGCGAUGUGUACACGUAACAAAACUCUGUCCUCGCGCGGCGUCGGUUUCCGGCGAAA